AUUGAACGCUGGCGGCAGGCCUAACACAUGCAAGUCGAGCGGAUGAAGGGAGCUUGCUCCUGGAUUCAGCGGCGGACGGGUGAGUAAUGCCUAGGAAUCUGCCUGGUAGUGGGGGAUAACGUCCGGAAACGGGCGCUAAUACCGCAUACGUCCUGAGGGAGAAAGUGGGGGAUCUUCGGACCUCACGCUAUCAGAUGAGCCUAGGUCGGAUUAGCUAGUUGGUGGGGUAAAGGCCUACCAAGGCGACGAUCCGUAACUGGUCUGAGAGGAUGAUCAGUCACACUGGAUCUGAGACACGGUCCAGACUCCUACGGGAGGCAGCAGCGGGGAAUAUUGGACAAUGGGCGAAAGCCUGAUCCAGCCAUGCCGCGUGUGUGAAGAAGGUCUUCGGAUUGUAAAGCACUUUAAGUUGGGAGGAAGGGCAGUAAGUUAAUACCUUGCUGUUUUGACGUUACCAACAGAAUAAGCACCGGCUAACUUCGUG
rnacentral:rRNA from 1 species